CGGCGGACGGGUGAGUAACACGUGGAUAACCUACCUAUAAGACCGGGAUAACUUCGGGAAACCGGAGCUAAUACCGGAUAAUAUAUUGAACCGCAUGGUUCAAUAGUGAAAGACGGUUUUGCUGUCACUUAUAGAUGGAUCCGCGCCGCAUUAGCUAGUUGGUAAGGUAACGGCUUACCAAGGCAACGAUGCGUAGCCGACCUGAGAGGGUGAUCGGCCACACUGGAACUGAGACACGGUCCAG
rnacentral:rRNA from 1 species